rnacentral:rRNA from 1 species
GAUUUCUGGCGUGGUGCGCCAAGCCCGCCGUCGUUUAGGCGGUGAGCGCUUUGUGUGCGCCUGUCAUCCUUCCGGAGAGUGUAGCCUACCCUUAACUGGGCCGGGUUGCGCGAUCUGGAUCGUUUACUUUGAAAAAAUUAGAGUGUUUAAAGCAGGCGUUUGCUAUGAAUACAUUAGCAUGGAAUAAUAAGAUAGGACUUUGGCCCUAUUUUGUUGGUUUCUAGGACUGAAGUAAUGAUUGAUAGGGACAGUUGGGGGUGCUAGUAUUUAACGGCCAGAGGUGAAAUUCUUGGAUUCGUUAAAGACUAACUUAUGCGAAAGCAUU